GUCUGAAUUUUAAAAUUUGAGGACGCAAAUUGAAAAGAGAAUUAAGUUGUAGCUCCAGCGUUUGUAGAAAUAGUUACACCAGAUAGUUUUCUAUAAUGCGACAAUAGGGAUUCCAUUAAAUAAGAAAAUUAGUAUUUAAUAUUCAGUUUUUUUUUAGAAAAGUAGUUUUAAUUAAAAAUCUAUUUCAAUAAAAAUAAAUGGUUAGGAGGGUUAGUUUAAAUUUAAUUAAUAUAUAAGUGUUUAUUAAAUUUAUUUAUUAAUAUAAUUUAUUUUAAGAUAUCCCAGAAUAGCAGGGUAUUAAUUUAAAGUCUUAAAAUUGAUUUUUAAAUUUAAGUAAUUUAUUAUAUCUCUGUCAACAAUAAAGUAGUUAAGUAAGUAAGUUAAGAAGUUAAUUUUCUGUUAAAUAAUACGAUGGAAACAUGUCAGUUAUAUGACGUCGAUAAAUUUAAUUAAAGUACCUCGUCUAGCUGGA
rnacentral:rRNA from 1 species